rnacentral:rRNA from 1 species
GCUGCCUCGUGUGUUAAGACGGCCUUCGGAUUGUCAAGCACUUUCGGCGAGGAGGACAGGGUGUAAGUUAAUACCUUACGUCUGUGACGUUACUCGCAGAAUAAGCACCGGCUAACUCCGUGCCAGCAGCCGCGGUAAUACGGAGGGUGCGAGCGUUAAUCGGAAUUACUGGGCGUAAAGCGUGCGCAGGCGGUUUGUUAAGCCAGAUGUGAAAGCCCCGGGCUCAACCUGGGAACCGCAUUUCGAACUGGCAAACUACAGUCUUGUAGAGGGGGGUAGAAUUCCAUGUGUAGCGGUGAAAUGCGUAGAGAUCUGGAGGAAUACCGGUGGCGAAGGCGGCCCCCUGGACCAAGACUGACGCUCAGGCACGAAAGCGUGGGGAGCAAACAGGAUUAGAUACCCUGGUAGUCCACGCCGUAAACGAUGUCUACUCGGAGUUUGGUGUCUUGAACACUGGGCUCUCAAGCUAACGCAUUAAAUAAACCGCCUGGGGAGUACGGCCGCAAGGUCAAAACUCAAA